rnacentral:rRNA from 1 species
UACAGAGGUCUCAAGCGUUGUUCGGAUUUAUUGGGCGUAAAGGGUGCGUAGGCGGCGAGGUAAGUCUGGUGUGAAAUCCUGGGGCUCAACCCCAGAAUUGCACUGGAUACUGCUUUGCUAGAGGACUGGAGAGGAGAUUGGAAUUCACGGUGUAGCAGUGAAAUGCGUAGAUAUCGUGAGGAAGACCAGUGGCGAAGGCGAAUCUCUGGACAGUUCCUGACGCUGAGGCACGAAGGCUAGGGGGAGCAAAACGGG